AAAUACGUCCGGAAAUGGAUAUGAUACCUCAAGCAAAUAGCGACUACGAGCCUAUAUUCCGUAGGAAAAGCAACACAGCUGCAGCGGCGAAAGAGAAAGAAUUAGCUUGAAAGAAAAUAGAUGUCCGAGUCAAUGCCCAACAGAAAGAAGGCAGAGACUAGAACAACUGGUGGAGGACCUGCACCUCCACCACUGAGGCAUGCAGAGGAGAAGGCCCUCAGCAUGAACACUGGAAAGCAGAGGCUGAAGGAAUUCCUGGAGGGAGUUCAUCAGAACCAGUCACUCCCCAGGAUACAAGUGCAUUUGUAAAAUAUUCUGAUGGUAAUAUAUGAAUCCUCCUGUCACAACAGAAGCCCAGGAUGUUAGUGUGAAAGAACAGCAGGAGGACGUCAGUCACGUUCUGCUGCACAGAUGCACACAGUUCAGGUAUGUUCAAUAAACACCAGAGUUCAAUUCUGUAAGACUAAUGAGGAACUAUGUCUUGUAACUAUAAAUCUUCUG